rnacentral:rRNA from 1 species
UACGAAGGGGGCUAGCGUUGCUCGGAAUCACUGGGCGUAAAGGGCGCGUAGGCGGCGUUUUAAGUCGGGGGUGAAAGCCUGUGGCUCAACCACAGAAUGGCCUUCGAUACUGGGACGCUUGAGUAUGGUAGAGGUUGGUGGAACUGCGAGUGUAGAGGUGAAAUUCGUAGAUAUUCGGAAGAACACCAGUGGCGAAGGCGACUCACUGGCCCAUUACUGACGCUGAGGCGCGAAAGCGUGGGGAGCAAACAGG